rnacentral:lncRNA from 1 species
UGAGAAGUAAUUAAACUAAACAGCCAGCGGGGUUUAUGAGGAUAUGACACAUGACACCUUCCAGCUUCCUGAUGUGUGCCACGCUACCCAGCAGCGUAUAUAUAGACGCCGGCCGUCCAGGCAGCGCUAUCACCGCAGCCAGCCGACUUCUCCUGACCCACUGACCAGCCGCUCAACAUGCAACCCAAAGGUAGUACCGGGGAGAGCUCUUACCCCACUGCCCUGCAGGACAGAAAUCUGCUUGGGUAUGGCUGCAAACUGCAGGGGAGGGAAGGGAACAGAAGGGAAAGGCCACGAUGAGGGUGGGAGAUGCUCAAAGCCCAGCUGGAGCAGCCCUGCACCAGCUGCUGCAGCCGACCCAGCCUGCAUGUGUGCUCCCCGCGCCUUCCCUUCUGCUGGAACUGGGGUGCUGCAACUCUGUGCCAUCUGCUCCACAGGCGUCUCGCUCAAAAUGAAGGUCCUCCUGCUGUCUUGCAUCGUGAGCAUGGUCCUUGCCGUUGCCAACGCUCAUCACCAUGACAGUGAUAGCUCUAGUGGGGACAGUUCGGAGGAGAACCCAAGACGACCCUUCCGGCCCUUUCGCCCCAUAUUUCGCCCCAUCCUGAGAAGGGGCAGGGCUGUGAGCUAUUACGCAUGACAAGUCUGAGGUAAGCAACCUAUCUUGCUGUACAAAAAUACAUCUGCUCUAUCAUGACAUUUUCCCAGUUCUCACUGUUAAUAUUUUAAUUGUGCAAGAAAUUUUGUGGCCCAAGCAAGAACUGAGAUCUAGACAUGAAGAUACUGGAACAGGCGUAAAGCAGUGGUGCUCUGCACAAUGUACUGUGUAACAUCAGGUACUCCAGCUGAAAAUGGUCUAACCAGAAAUCUUUCUUGGGAACAAACGACUACCAAAAAACAUAUCCAAGCCCCCGUGCCCCUGCCAGACUGGCUUGAAUAGAAAACUGCUAAGGACAGGGAAAUCAUUACAGAAUUUUUCCUUCCACAAAUAACACACCACCCUUGUGCAGUUUUUAAAUCUCAUCCAGCAGGAUACUUUCAGUGAUUUUCAUUUCCUUCAGCAUUGCACAUUAUCUUAAUCACUUCACAGAGAAGAAAGAAACAUGCUACUUGGACUUGCCACACUCUAGCCAGACGUAUAUCCAGCUGUCAGGAGCUGCCCAGCUACCUCCCGUGAACACAGAAACAGCCUCCUCUUGGGGCUAAGGGUUCAUAUAAAGCAUUCAUUGAGACGUUAAAACAAUUAACUGCUCUUGGUUCUAACCUGCAAUUCUCCUACUGCUCUGCAGGUGCCUACCUGGAUAACCAUGGCUGUCUCCUGCAGGACGCUGCUGCUUCUAGAUGAUCUUCUACUUCCCACCUCUCCUU